rnacentral:rRNA from 1 species
GAUGAGCCCGCGUCUGAUUAGCUAGUUGGUGGGGUAAUGGCCCACCAAGGCGACGAUCAGUAGCUGGUCUGAGAGGAUGAUCAGCCACACUGGGACUGAGACACGGCCCAGACUCCUACGGGAGGCAGCAGUGGGGAAUUUUCCGCAAUGGGCGAAAGCCUGACGGAGCAACGCCGCGUGAGGGAUGAAGGCCUCUGGGCUGUAAACCUCUUUUCUCAAGGAAGAAGACAUGACGGUACUUGAGGAAUAAGCCACGGCUAAUUCCGUGCCAGCAGCCGCGGUAAUACGGGAGUGGCAAGCGUUAUCCGGAAUUAUUGGGCGUAAAGCGUCCGCAGGCGGCCUUGUAAGUCUGUCGUUAAAGCGUGGAGCUUAACUCCAUUUAAGCGAUGGAAACUACAAGGCUUGAGUGUGGUAGGGGCAGAGGGAAUUCCCGGUGUAGCGGUGAAAUGCGUAGA